AUUCUCCUCGAAGAAUGCUGCUUGUCGUACCUUGACAAACUAUGCCAAGGCAUACCACCAUAAACAACCACCUUGUCAUUUUUCUACAAAAUAUUUCGUCUUGUCAGAAAAUAAUAAAAUGUUUCGUAUAGAAGUAUUACAAUUGAGAUAUUGGAAACACUUACCUAGGCUGCGAGUAACGAAGCAAUGGAUAUUGUACGUGAACUGCAGGAGCUGUUGAAUUUUCACCAACGAUCGGUCAAAUAUAUAGGCGGUCUGAUGCAACGAGAAUACUGAUGUACUGAUUUAUUCUAUGUACCGAUUUCUAUUAUUUAAAAUUCAGAAAUUUAAGUUAUCGAGAUAAUAAAUUGCCAUUUGAUAUUUUUUGUUAUUUAAUAUAUAAUUGAUUUAAUAUAUUUGCUACCAUUUCUCAUAUAAAUAUUAAUUUUCUUGUAUUUAAUUUUCAUGAAAAAUGAUCAAAUGAUCAUAUGGUUUUUUAUGUUUGAAAAAAAAUUUAAUUAAAUUCGCUUAAUUGAAAAAUAAAAAAGAAAAAGUAAUAAAUAAAUAAAGAAAUUUAAAAAUAGAUAAAUAAAUGAUUAUAUUACUAAUGAUUACUUUAAUAUUAGUAUGCUUGUUACCUCAAGCUUAUUAUCUCAGAAAAAUGAUUAAUAUACACUUCUAAUCUUUUUCUAUAUUUUUAUCAUAUUAUGUAAAACUAAUAUAACGAAAAUAUUUUUAUUUAAAUGGCCAUAAAAAUUUGUUAAUUUAAUCUCAAUGCAUAAAUUUUUUACGUGCCUUUAGUUUAAAUUUUUAAAAUUGAAAAAUUUAUAUUUAAAUGAAUUUUUUAUUUCAUAAUCGAAGCAAUAAUGUUAAAACAAAUUUUAAUUAUUCAUUCAUGAUUUUGAUCAAUUCAAUAUCGAUUAUUACGAGAAAAUAUCUAAAAAAUUAUAAAUAUAAAUGGUUUUACGUAAUAUAUAGGAAUUAGAGAUUAAUAAAAAAGAAAAAAAAAUAUUUGAACAAUAAUUUAAUAAUAACGAAUAUAAAAAUAAAAAUAAAAAUAAGAGAAAGUGUAUUGUAUAUAUCUUUCGCAUAUAUAAACAUAUAAAUGAUAUUUUUGGAUAAUCAAUUUAAAAAUAAAAAAAACAAAAAUUGCAAUGCAUAAAAGUAUCGAUCGAAGCUUAUUUAUUAUAUUAUGAAUAAUUUAAUUGGAUUACAAAAAUAAAGUGAAACGAUCAUGUAACAAAGACAGAUAUCAUUUUACUCAUAUUUUUUCAUUUAAUGAAAAUUCAAAUUCCUUAUGACUUAAUAAAUAACUAAUUUUUAUAUUUAUUUUAAUCUGAAGAAUCGAUUUUUUAAAAAUGUUCCAUAUAUUAACACAUUCUACAUUAAUGCUUGAUCUAGAUUAUUCGAAUCUAGAAUAUUCGAUAACAAAUAAAAAGAGUAACAAUCAUGGAUUAAAAAAAAUAAUCAUUUAUAAGUAAUUUUUUAUUUUUAUUAAAGCAUCUCUUUGAUACUGAGCUAUAAUACAAUAUUUAAUGUUAAUUAAAUAAUAAUCCAAUCAAAACUGUUUAUUAUGAAAAUAUUAUUUUUUUUCAGUAUUUUCUAUUUCUUAUUUUUUCCUAUUUUCUCUACUAUUAAAUUAGCUCAAUUCCUUUGCGAUAAAUUUAAAUAGUAGAAGAAUAUAUGAUAUCACAGUAUUCUCACUAGUAUAUUACUCUCAUUAAUAUAUUACAAACAGAGACACGUUAUAUGACACGAUAUUUAACUUUGGCUACUUUUAAUAGUAGAAGAAAUACACCUGCUCAUUAAUGACUAAAUAACUAAUAAUCUCAAUCGAGUAGUAAUAAAUCGAGGUUAUAAUACAUAAUAUAAAAGAAAACUCGAAAUUUUCUAAUAUUUCUUUUUUAAUAUUUCUUUUUCAUUUUAUUCGGAUAACAAUUAUCAAAAUACAUCAAUAUUGGGAUAAUUGCAAAUCAAUCCAAAGAAAAUUCAGAUUAGAUGUGAAAUCAAUGAAAUGUG